GCUAGUAAUAAUGUUAUAUCAUUUAAAUGAGUAGUGAAUAGGGAUUGGACUGAUUUAAGAGCGACAUCAUUUUUGAUUGGCUUGUAUUAGUUUACUAAUUCUUUGGGGUUUGCCAAAGACCUUUGUGUCUUUACACAUCUAAAUAGAAUAGAUCUUUGUUAUUAUUGAAUAUUUUGUUAGUGUCCUAUGGCGGGUGAUCAGUGUCAGUUCGAAAAUGCAAUGCUUAAACGCUAAAUAUUAAUGUGAAAAUGGUAAAUGCGUUUGUAUUUUCAAAUCAGUGUGCAUGAUUCAUGCCACAAUUAAAUUGAACCUGCUCUAAUCACCCUACCUGUGUAUAAAAUAAUAUGAUAUAUUCUUUCAAAGUUGCUGAAAAAUUAAAUAAAUAAAAAAUAACACAUUUAGAAGGCAACAGGCAGAUCAAACUGACAUUUUUUUCUGUAAAAAUGGCAAGAAAUAAGAAAAGAGUUGACAGACACUAAAUCAAGCGCACCUCCCCUCAUUGGUCCAGUCGGGUUGUUUUAUAACCACACCUUCAGAUUGUAACGCUACUAAAGUUCUGUCUGGGCAGGCCAAUCAUAUUUCCUAAUCAUCAAACAAAGUAAACUGACAGACAUAUUCUAAAUAGUAUGAAUCGACAUUUUUGAAAAUGUCAUUCUGUACUAAUUACUGGGGCGUGCAGAGGCCUCGGUCUACAAAUGGUGAAAGACCUGGCGAGAAGCAUCGAGCGACCGACCACAAUAAGUGACUGCGCGCAAACCACCCGCAGCACAGAUGUUGUCAGCCAGUCAUGUAUAGACUCAGCAUUUCACGAGGUGUCAUCCAUACUGGGAGGUGAUGGGCUCAACUGCCUCAUAAACAACACAGCUGAUCUGAAGACAGUGACACCUGACGACUUUUGAGAGUAAUACUGUUUCUACUCUUUUUGCCACCAAGGCAUUUCUGCCAUUGCUCCAGGCAGCUGCUGCACGGACCACUGUAAUGGGGAUCAAUAGGGCAGCUGUGAUAAACAUCUCUUCCAUACUGGGCUCCAUUAAGGCCAAUUGGGGAGACGGAGCAGCCUUCAAAAGCUAUGCUUACAGGACCUCAAAGGCUGCCUUGAACAUGGCGACAAGUUGUCUGGCCAUUGACUUGGAAUCUGAAGGGAUUCUGUGUAUAGCCCUUCACCCUGGCUGGGUGCACACUGACGUAGGUGGCCCAUAUCAUUUCCUGUCUAUUAUGGAAUAGGUGGAUUUGAGUGCGGAGGAUCAUCUUUGCUGUCUCUGACAGAAAAGCAUCAUGGGGGAUUCUUCAACAACUCUGGAAACAAGCUACCAUGGUGAAGCUCAACUUUGAAACAGUAACUUGUGUAAUGUGCAGUUGUACUGCCGACAAUUCACUGGGACAAAACACUGAGCAGAGAUCAUAGAAUACAACGCACAAUUGCAACAUCAUGCUGUUAGGUUGCUCUGCAAUCUCUGAUUUCUUUGUAUUUAGUUGGCGUGAGAGAGAAGCUG